UGGAGUGAAAAAGAACCUGAAACCGUGUACGUACAAGCAGUGGGAGCACAGGUUUACCUGUGUGACUGCGUACCUUUUGUAUAAUGGGUCAGCGACUUAUAUUCUGUAGCAAGGUUAACCGAAUAGGGGAGCCGGAGGGAAACCGAGUCUUAAUUGGGCGUUAAGUUGCAGGGUAUAGACCCGAAACCCGGUGAUCUAGCCAUGGGCAGGUUGAAGGUUGGGUAACACUAACUGGAGGACCGAACCGACUAAUGUUGAAAAAUUAGCGGAUGACCUGUGGCUGGGGGUGAAAGGCCAAUCAAACCGGGAGAUAGCUGGUUCUCCCCGAAAGCUAUUUAGGUAGCGCCUCGUGAAUUCAUCUCCGGGGGUAGAGCACUGUUUCGGCUAGGGGGCCAUCCCGGCUUACCAACCCGAUGCAAACUGCGAAUACCGGAGAAUGUUAUCACGGGAGACACACGGCGGGUGCUAACGUCCGUCGUGAAGAGGGAAACAACCCAGACCGCCAGCUAAGGUCCCAAAGUCAUGGUUAAGUGGGAAACGAUGUGGGAAGGCCCAGACAGCCAGGAUGUUGGCUUAGAAGCAGCCAUCAUUUAAAGAAAGCGUAAUAGCUCACUGGUCGAGUCGGCCUGCGCGGAAGAUGUAACGGGGCUAAACCAUGCACCGAAGCUGCGGCAGCGANNUGCUGGAGGUAUCAGAAGUGCGAAUGCUGACAUAAGUAACGAUAAAGCGGGUGAAAAGCCCGCUCGCCGGAAGACCAAGGGUUCCUGUCCAACGUUAAUCGGGGCAGGGUGAGUCGACCCCUAAGGCGAGGCCGAAAGGCGUAGUCGAUGGGAAACGGGUUAAUAUUCCCGUACUUGGUGUUACUGCGAAGGGGGGACGGAGAAGGCUAUGUUGGCCGGGCGACGGUUGUCCCGGUUUAAGCGUGUAGGUGUGUGUUCCAGGUAAAUCCGGUUCACUUUAACACUGAGGCGUGACGACGAGGCACUACGGUGCUGAAGCAACAAAUGCCCUGCUUCCAGGAAAAGCCUCUAAGCAUCAGGUAACAUCAAAUCGUACCCCAAACCGACACAGGUGGUCAGGUAGAGAAUACCAAGGCGCUUGAGAGAACUCGGGUGAAGGAACUAGGCAAAAUGGUGCCGUAACUUCGGGAGAAGGCACGCUGACAUGUAGGUGAAGUGAUUUACUCAUGGAGCUGAAGUCAGUCGAAGAUACCAGCUGGCUGCAACUGUUUAUUAAAAACACAGCACUGUGCAAACACGAAAGUGGACGUAUACGGUGUGACGCCUGCCCGGUGCCGGAAGGUUAAUUGAUGGGGUCAGCGCAAGCGAAGCUCCUGAUCGAAGCCCCGGUAAACGGCGGCCGUAACUAUAACGGUCCUAAGGUAGCGAAAUUCCUUGUCGGGUAAGUUCCGACCUGCACGAAUGGCGUAAUGAUGGCCAGGCUGUCUCCACCCGAGACUCAGUGAAAUUGAACUCGCUGUGAAGAUGCAGUGUACCCGCGGCAAGACGGAAAGACCCCGUGAACCUUUACUAUAGCUUGACACUGAACAUUGAGCCUUGAUGUGUAGGAUAGGUGGGAGGCUUUGAAGUGUGGACGCCAGUCUGCAUGGAGCCGACCUUGAAAUACCACCCUUUAAUGUUUGAUGUUCUAACGUGGACCCGUUAUCCGGGUUGCGGACAGUGUCUGGUGGGUAGUUUGACUGGGGCGGUCUCCUCCUAAAGAGUAACGGAGGAGCACGAAGGUUGGCUAAUCCUGGUCGGACAUCAGGAGGUUAGUGCAAUGGCAUAAGCCAGCUUGACUGCGAGCGUGACGGCGCGAGCAGGUGCGAAAGCAGGUCAUAGUGAUCCGGUGGUUCUGAAUGGAAGGGCCAUCGCUCAACGGAUAAAAGGUACUCCGGGGAUAACAGGCUGAUACCGCCCAAGAGUUCAUAUCGACGGCGGUGUUUGGCACCUCGAUGUCGGCUCAUCACAUCCUGGGGCUGAAGUAGGUCCCAAGGGUAUGGCUGUUCGCCAUUUAAAGUGGUACGCGAGCUGGGUUUAGAACGUCGUGAGACAGUUCGGUCCCUAUCUGCCGUGGGCGCUGGAGAACUGAGGGGGGCUGCUCCUAGUACGAGAGGACCGGAGUGGACGCAUCACUGGUGUUCGGGUUGUCAUGCCAAUGGCACUGCCCGGUAGCUAAAUGCGGAAGAGAUAAGUGCUGAAAGCAUCUAAGCACGAAACUUGCCCCGAGAUGAGUUCU
rnacentral:rRNA from 1 species